rnacentral:tRNA from 1 species
UAGGAGCUAGCUCAAAGGGAGAGCGAUUGAUUUCGAAUCAAUUGGUUUCAGGUUCGAUUCCUGAGUUCCUAA